rnacentral:rRNA from 1 species
AUAUCAAUAAGCGGAGGAAAAGAAACUAACAAGGAUUCCCCUAGUAAACGGCGAGUGAAGCGGGAUGAGCUCAAAUUUGAAAAUCUGGCUGGUUUUACUAGUCCGAGUUGUAAUUUAAAGAAGCGUUUUUCGGUGGCAGCCUGGGUAUAAAUCCUUUGGAAUAGGGUAUCAUAGAGGGUGAGAAUCCCGUCUUUGACCUAGUGCAUGCUACUAUGUGAUACGUUUUUCAAAGAGUCGAGUUGUUUGGGAAUGCAGCUCAAAAUGGGUGGUAAAUUUUCAUCUAAAGCUAAAUAUUGGCGAGAGACCGAUAGCGAACAAGUACCGUGAGGGAAAGAUGAAAAAGAACUUUGGAAAAGAGAGUUAAACAGUGA